UUAAGCGACUAAGCGUACACGGUGGAUGCCCUGGCAGUCAGAGGCGAUGAAGGACGUGCUAAUCUGCGAAAAGCGUCGGUAAGGUGAUAUGAACCGUUAUAGCCGGCGAUGUCCGAAUGGGGAAACCCAGUGCAAUUCGUUGCACUAUCGUUAACUGAAUACAUAGGUUAACGAGGCGAACCGGGGGAACUGAAACAUCUAAGUACCCCGAGGAAAAGAAAUCAACCGAGAUUCCCCCAGUAGCGGCGAGCGAACGGGGAGCAGCCCAGAGUCUGAAUCAGCUUGUGUGUUAGUGGAACGGUCUGGAAAGUCCGACGGUACAGGGUGAUAGUCCCGUACACCAAAAAUGCACAGGCUGUGAACUCGAAGAGUAGGGCGGGACACGUGGUAUCCUGUCUGAAUAUGGGGGGACCAUCCUCCAAGGCUAAAUACUCCUGACUGACCGAUAGUGAACCAGUACCGUGAGGGAAAGGCGAAAAGAACCCCGGCGAGGGGAGUGAAAAAGAACCUGAAACCGUGUACGUACAAGCAGUGGGAGCACCUUCGGGUGUGACUGCGUACCUUUUGUAUAAUGGGUCAGCGACUUAUAUUCUGUAGCAAGGUUAACCGUAUAGGGGAGCCGCAGGGAAACCGAGUCUUAACUGGGCGUUAAGUUGCAGGGUAUAGACCCGAAACCCGGUGAUCUAGCCAUGGGCAGGUUGAAGGUUGGGUAACACUAACUGGAGGACCGAACCGACUAAUGUUGAAAAAUUAGCGGAUGACUUGUGGCUGGGGGUGAAAGGCCAAUCAAACCGGGAGAUAGCUGGUUCUCCCCGAAAGCUAUUUAGGUAGCGCCUCGUGAACUCAUCUUCGGGGGUAGAGCACUGUUUCGGCUAGGGGGUCAUCCCGACUUACCAACCCGAUGCAAACUACGAAUACCGAAGAAUGUUAUCACGGGAGACACACGGCGGGUGCUAACGUCCGUCGUGAAGAGGGAAACAACCCAGACCGCCAGCUAAGGUCCCAAAGUCAUGGUUAAGUGGGAAACGAUGUGGGAAGGCACAGACAGCCAGGAUGUUGGCUUAGAAGCAGCCAUCAUUUAAAGAAAGCGUAAUAGCUCACUGGUCGAGUCGGCCUGCGCGGAAGAUGUAACGGGGCUAAACCAUGCACCGAAGCUGCGGCAGCGACACUAUGUGUUGUUGGGUAGGGGAGCGUUCUGUAAGCCUGCGAAGGUGGCCUGUGAGGGCUGCUGGAGGUAUCAGAAGUGCGAAUGCUGACAUAAGUAACGAUAAAGCGGGUGAAAAGCCCGCUCGCCGGAAGACCAAGGGUUCCUGUCCAACGUUAAUCGGGGCAGGGUGAGUCGACCCCUAAGGCGAGGCCGAAAGGCGUAGUCGAUGGGAAACAGGUUAAUAUUCCUGUACUUGGUGUUACUGCGAAGGGGGGACGGAGAAGGCUAUGUUAGCCGGGCGACGGUUGUCCCGGUUUAAGCAUGUAGGCGGAGGUUCCAGGUAAAUCCGGUACCUUUUAACGCUGAGGUGUGAUGACGAGGCACUACGGUGCUGAAGUAACAAAUGCCCUGCUUCCAGGAAAAGCCUCUAAGCAUCAGGUAACAUUGAAUCGUACCCCAAACCGACACAGGUGGUCAGGUAGAGAAUACCAAGGCGCUUGAGAGAACUCGGGUGAAGGAACUAGGCAAAAUGGUGCCGUAACUUCGGGAGAAGGCACGCUGGUGUGUAGGUGAAGUCCCUGCGGACGGAGCUGAGACCAGUCGAAGAUACCAGCUGGCUGCAACUGUUUAUUAAAAACACAGCACUGUGCAAACACGAAAGUGGACGUAUACGGUGUGACGCCUGCCCGGUGCCGGAAGGUUAAUUGAUGGGGUUAUCCGUAAGGAGAAGCUCUUGAUCGAAGCCCCGGUAAACGGCGGCCGUAACUAUAACGGUCCUAAGGUAGCGAAAUUCCUUGUCGGGUAAGUUCCGACCUGCACGAAUGGCGUAAUGAUGGCCAGGCUGUCUCCACCCGAGACUCAGUGAAAUUGAACUCGCUGUGAAGAUGCAGUGUACCCGCGGCAAGACGGAAAGACCCCGUGAACCUUUACUAUAGCUUGACACUGAACAUUGAGCCUUGAUGUGUAGGAUAGGUGGGAGGCUUUGAAGCGUGGACGCCAGUCUGCGUGGAGCCAACCUUGAAAUACCACCCUUUAACUGUUUGAUGUUCUAACGUUGGCCCGUAAUCCGGGUUGCGGACAGUGUCUGGUGGGUAGUUUGACUGGGGCGGUCUCCUCCCAAAGAGUAACGGAGGAGCACGAAGGUUAGCUAAUCCUGGUCGGACAUCAGGAGGUUAGUGCAAUGGCAUAAGCUAGCUUGACUGCGAGCGUGACGGCGCGAGCAGGUGCGAAAGCAGGUCAUAGUGAUCCGGUGGUUCUGAAUGGAAGGGCCAUCGCUCAACGGAUAAAAGGUACUCCGGGGAUAACAGGCUGAUACCGCCCAAGAGUUCAUAUCGACGGCGGUGUUUGGCACCUCGAUGUCGGCUCAUCACAUCCUGGGGCUGAAGUAGGUCCCAAGGGUAUGGCUGUUCGCCAUUUAAAGUGGUACGCGAGCUGGGUUUAGAACGUCGUGAGACAGUUCGGUCCCUAUCUGCCGUGGGCGCUGGAGAAUUGAGGGGGGCUGCUCCUAGUACGAGAGGACCGGAGUGGACGCAUCACUGGUGUUCGGGUUGUCAUGCCAAUGGCACUGCCCGGUAGCUAAAUGCGGAAGAGAUAAGUGCUGAAAGCAUCUAAGCACGAAACUUGCCCCGAGAUGAGUUCUCCCUGAGACUUUAAGUCUCCUGAAGGAACGUUGAAGACGACGACGUUGAUAGGCCGGGUGUGUAAGCGCAGCGAUGCGUUGAGCUAACCGGUACUAAUGAACCGUGAGGCUUAACCUU
rnacentral:rRNA from 1 species